rnacentral:misc_RNA from 1 species
GAAACAUGUGUUCAAGGUGAGCUUGGAUUUGACUAGAUUUGAUUACUAUACCAUCGGAAAGUAUGAUGCUGUGAAGGAUCGCUACGUUCCCGAUCAUGGCUCUGUUGACAAUAAAACUGGCUUGAGGUACGAUUACGGUAAUUUUUAUGCAUCGAAAACAUUUUUCGAUCCAGAGGAGAAGAGGAGAAUUUUGUGGGGUUGGUCAAAUGAAUCUGAUACUGCACAUGAUGAUACAGCUAAAGGUUGGGCUGGUGUUC